UACAGAGGUCUCAAGCGUUGUUCGGAUUCAUUGGGCGUAAAGGGUGCGUAGGCGGCACGGUAAGUCGGGUGUGAAAUCUUGGAGCUUAACUCCGAAACUGCAUUCGAUACUGCCGUGCUUGAGGACUGGAGAGGAGACUGGAAUUUACGGUGUAGCGGUGAAAUGCGUAGAUAUCGUAAGGAAGACCAGUGGCGAAGGCGGGUCUCUGGACAGUUCCUGACGCUGAAGCACGAAGGCCAGGGGAGCAAACGGG
rnacentral:rRNA from 1 species